rnacentral:lncRNA from 1 species
AAAAAAAAAAAAAAGGAAAGAAAUGGUAGCCUAGGGCAGGCACAUGGCGGAUUGACUGUAAUGUGGCAUGAGAGAACUCUCUGGAAUGAUGGAAAUGUACAUCUUAAUUGGGGUGGUGGUUACAGGAUGUACACAUCUUAUCAAACCGUAUGCUUAGACUUGCUUUAAAAGGAAAGAUGGGAGGGGUCCCUGGGUGGCGCAGCGGUUUGGCGCCUGCCUUUGGCCCAGGGCACAAUCCUGGAGACCCAGGAUCAAAUCCCAUGUCGGGCUCCCGGUGCAUGGAGCCUGCUUCUCUCUCUGCCUCUCUCUCUCUCUCUUUUUCUGUGACUAUCAUAAAUAAAUAAAAAUUAAAAAAAAAACACAAGUACAUCUAAAUAAAUAAAUAAAUAAAUAAAUAAAUAAAUAAAUGGAAAGAUGGGAAUAAAGGGGAAAGGAGAAAAAAUAAGUGGGAAAUAUCAGAAAGGGAGACAGAACAUGAGAGACUCCUAACUCUGGGAAACGAACUAGGGGUGGUGGAAGGGGAGGCAGGUGGGAGGUGGGGGUGAAUGGGUGACGGGCACUGAGGGGGGCACUUGACGGGAUGAGCGCUGGGUGUUAUUCUGAUGUUGACAAAUUGAACACCAAUAAAAAAUGAAUUUAAAAAAAAAAAGGAAAGAUGGAUUGUCCAUACGCAUGCACUCACCGCCACUCAUGGGAUGUGUCACCACCUCGGCCCUAAGUCGCCAUUUUUUCAAAAUCUCCAUUUCUAUUUGUAAAACAUCUUUUGUGAGCUAAUUCUAUGACUUUCAGGCCCCGUAUUGAAGUAAAUUCUUACUGUAAACCAGAGACAAAGGAGCUAGCUUCCUGGCUGAAGUGGGCACGGGCAAUCUGAUGGUGUGCUUCCAACCUCUUCUCCUCCUCAUAGUGAGAGGGCGCCAUUGUCUCUAAGUCCCAACUAGCUCUGAUAGGCACUGCUUCUAUGUCUCUGCUGAGGAUUUGCCUCAGACUAAAUAUAUCCUUUUCCUCCAUACCAUAUGAUUUCUAGAUUCCUCUGGAAAGAACAGGCAUCUGUGCUCCCAUAGAAGAGGGAAGCAGAGACAAGGAAGAGGGCCACGCCUCUCCUCUCCAUUCUCCUCCUCUUCGUGAUUCAUUCCACAUAAUACCCACCGUGCAUGUUCGAGAAGUGGCUGCAACACGAAACCUCUCAUUAAUGGUCAAUUCCAGUUACAUUAAAGUAUUUAAUAAAGCCUGGAUUACGGGGUCAUUAGGUUUCCAGUAAAUCCUAGUGCCUUUUCAUCAGGGAAAGGCAGGAGGCCCUGGCCCUAGGCCUUUAAGAUGAAGAGAAGAAUUAAUGGGAGGUCACCCUUUUAAUGUUUCCUCUUCUGCUCUGACCAGCCUAACUUGUGGUCAUCUUGCUUUUAGAGAAUUUAUCACUAGUUCCCUGCAUCUGGGAAUAUGAAGACCCUUCUUAACACCCACAAAUUUUAGUUUCUACCCUUUACAGCUGCAUUUUUAUCCAUAUAGAAACUACAGUGUGUACGCUCGUGCGCACACACACUUACAUGCUAUUAUGAUUUCAUUAACUUAAAAAUAUCUUGAUAGAUCACAACACAGACAAACACUGAAGGACAGCAUUGCCUCUAGAAGAGGCAGGCAGUGCACACCCUGACUUGAAGUCCCCUUGUAGUGCUGUGUACUCCCAGGAGCUAUGUGAAGUCCCCAUGGCUGUGUACUCCCAGGAGCUAGAUCACACUGAGGCAUUCCCAUAGCCAGUCAUGGCAGGCACAAGCCAAUUCCAGAGAAGCUAGUGGAUAAACCUUUUACCACCUUUCUCGCAACCUUCCCUCCCCUCUCCAGGGUGGUCUCAUGACUCAAGGAAAAGAGAAGAUGUGGCCACAAGUGCCAGUGGAA